AUGAACGCUGGCGGCGUGCCUAAUACAUGCAAGUCGAGCGAACAGAUAAGGAGCUUGCUCCUUUGACGUUAGCGGCGGACGGGUGAGUAACACGUGGGUAACCUACCUAUAAGACUGGGAUAACUUCGGGAAACCGGCGCUAAUUCCGGAUAACAUUUGGAACCGCAUGGUUCUAAAGUGAAAGAUGGUUUUGCUCUCACUUAUAGAUGGAUCCGCGCCGUAUUAGCUAGUUGGUAAGGUAACGGCUUACCAAGGCAACGAUACGUAGCCGACCUGAGAGGGUGAUCGGCCACACUGGAACUGAGACACGGUCCAGACUCCUACGGGAGGCAGCAGUAGGGAAUCUUCGGCAAAGGGCGAAAGCCUGACGGAGCAACGCCGCGUGAGUGGUGAAGGGUUUCGGCUCGUAAAACUCUGUUAUUAGGGAAGAACAAACGUGUAAGUAACUGUGCACGUCUUGACGGUACCUAAUCAGAAAGCCACGGCUAACUACGUG
rnacentral:rRNA from 1 species